UACGGAAGGCAGCGGUGGGGAAUAUUGCACAAUGGGCGCAAGCCUGAUGCAGCCAUGCCGCGUGUAUGAAGAAGGCCUUCGGGUUGUAAAGUACUUUCAGUCGUGAGGAAGGUGUUAAGGUUAAUAACCUUAGCAAUUGACGUUAGCGACAGAAGAAGCACCGGCUAACUCCGUGCCAGCAGCCGCGGUAAUACGGAGGGUGCGAGCGUUAAUCGGAAUUACUGGGCGUAAAGGGCACGCAGGCGGUUAAUUAAGUUGGAUGUGAAAUCCCCGGGCUUAACCUGGGAAUGGCAUUCAAGACUGGUUAGCUAGAGUCUUGUAGAGGGGGUAGAAUUCCAUGUGUAGCGGUGAAAUGCGUAGAGAUGUGGAGGAAUACCGGUGGCGAAGGCGGCCCCUGGGACAAAGGACUGACGCUCAUGUGCGAAAGCGUGGGGAGCGAAAC
rnacentral:rRNA from 1 species